UAUUCACUUUGGAAUAAAACGAACGAAACCCCACCCUGUGGGCUCCGUCCCUGCCGCGCCAGGCCCCCGCGCCUCCAAACUGUGCUCCCGGGAAACCAGAAGUUUACUAGUGUGUUUGUUUCCCGCGCCCGCGCACCUCGAAACCGAAAGCACCACUGGCUGGGCCCGAGUCCUGCUCGGAGCUACCAGCCGAGCGUCCCCGCCGCCAGCGCGCCGAACUCGGAUGCAGUUGCCUUCCCUGCCGCGCCGGGCCGGGGGCAACAGUGAGCUGCGGCGGCGGCGGGAAACCGAGGCCCUGGCGGGGAGGUCGCUCCAGCUCGGGGUGGGAAAACCGGGAAAACAGCGGCAAAGUCUCCUCAGAAACUCUUCCGGGAGGGUUCGAGGACGGUGGAAUACGGCUUGUAGGAAGAGUGAAAUGCAGACCGUUCGCCUGUACCAGGAUGGCCGAGUGGUUAAGGCGUUGGACUUAAGAUCCAAUGGACAAUGUCCGCGUGGGUUCGAACCCCACUCCUGGUAGAUGUUUGCUUUUACGGUUUUUUUAACUUAAAAAUUUUAUUUCUUUUUAAAGUAUACAUUUCACUGAGCACACCACGCCUGGGGCCCAAGAAUUCUGUCUUCUGGCUGGGAGAGACGCACCCUUCUCCCACCUCCCUCCGACUCGCAUAACGCUCGGCGUCGCUUCCCGCGGGCGGAAGACGACUCGGCGCGCGGGGUGGGCGGGGGCUGGAAGGGGGGCCGGAGGGCGUCUCCCCGGCCGGGGCUGCGCGGCGUCAGAGGCUCGCGGGGCCGAGGCGGGGUCGGGACUCGGAACUCGGGACUCGGCUGCGGAGCGGGCUCCGCUUCCCCGCUGCGGAGCCGGGGCGGGCGCCUCCGAUGGGAGAGCACAGUUAGCCCCCUCCGCCGAAAAGUCAAGGCUAAACCACCUUUUUCCGUUUCGCCAAAAUGAAUUGUGUGCGCACAAUUCUUCCAUUAGCUCCUUGAAGGCGGAGACAGUGGGCACCCGGCUCUAAAAUGGACUCUAGCUUGCAUCCGGCUUAGAAUUUUAAAAUACCAAUGGCAUGGUCUCGUUGUUUUCUUCCUUCCUUUUUUUUUUUCUCAAGACUUUUUAAAAUAAUCUCAAACCUAGAUUUAAAGUAAAUUAAAGUAGAUUAAGGUAAUCUAAAACCUAGAGGAAAAAGUUGCAACUACAGUGCAAAGAACACUUUAAAAAAAAUCAUUGGUCAGUAAGAUACCGACUAGAUGCUCCAAUACAACCAUUAAAAUAAGGAAAUUAAUAUUGAUAAUUUACUACAUCUAGUCCCUGAACCUCUUUCAGUCACCACUUGGCGUGUAUAGUAAAUUCUCCUGUUCAGAGUAAUGUACUGAAUUUACUUGUCACACCUCCUUAGGCUUCUUGAAUCUGUAACAAUUUCGCAGUGUCUCCCGACUGCCAUGAUCUUGACACUUGUGAAGAUGACAGGCCAAUCACUGUGGAGAAUGUCCCUUUGUCAGCUUGGGUUUGUCGGAUUAGAUUCAGGUUGUGCUUCUGGAGCAAGAGUAUGGCAGAAGUGAUGCGGUGUUCACACUCCAUCAGGGGGGGAGUGAUUUUGAUGUGUCCUGUUAACUGAACUUAAUUCACUUGAUUAAGCCUCUCUGCCAACUUUCACCACUAUAAAUUCACUCUUUCCCCCUUUGUAAUUAAUAUAUAUUUGGGGGAAAUGUUUUGAAGCUAUCUUUCCCCCUUUGUAAUUAAUAUAUAUUUGGGGGAAAUGUUUUGAAGCUAUAAAAAUAUCCUCUUACUCAUCAAACUUUCCAUUUGAUUCAGUUAUUUCUGGAAUCAUAAGUAAUGUAAGUAUGCACUUAUGGUGCAUACUAUUUUAAUAAAUGGUUGCAAUCCAUUCUAUCUUUGUUCAAUGAUCAGUGUCCCAGAUUUGGCCAGUGGAAAUCCAUCGGAGCUGACCUUCAACAUGUCUCCAUCAUUCUUUAGCACUUCCAUCCUUCCUGGUCCAAGAUAUUCCAUGCUUACCUUCGAUUUUCUGUGACCCAGCCCCAGAGUCAGCCCUUUUCAAAAGAUCCCUGAUUCCCUUUUCCCAGGAGAAAAGUCGUUAGAAACCAAGAUCUUAGUGCUAGACAAGCUCAUUGUUUUGAUGUGUUACUACUGUUCCCAGGCCCUCUGAGUGGACAGAAUUAGGAAGUAAUGUGUGUAUACACAUCUAUAUUUGUCUCUUUACAGCCAGGAGUUUAUACUAAUACCUCCAAUUCUGAUGCAACAUUACAGAUUUUGUUUUAGUUUUUCUAUCCAUAUUUGUAAUUCCCUAAACUUGCCACCUGCCAAAGUAAAAUUUACCUUGCUUGAGCCUAUCAACAGCUUUAGAAUUGAAUUGUUCAAGAAGGGAAGGAAAGAGGUAAAGAAAGAGUGUCUAAGUAGUUUAGAAAUGAGCAUCCUGCCAGCGUCUGAGAACUGGCUAUAAACCAGUCACUGUUAGACACCUGGGAUGUGCAGAUAAAUAACUCAGCAUCUGUCUCAAGGAGCUCAGUUAGUGAGAGAGAGAUUUUAAUGAAUCACGCUUAUAAUGAGAAAACAUGAAUUAUGUCCUAGAUGCUAAAGGAGCAGUGUGGGAAGCCCUAACUCUUUACCAGAAGAGUCAGCUUUAGUUGGGAACUGAAGGAAGAGAAGUAGGGCUCUGGGAGGUGGAAGGAGAGAGGUGCAGGUGGGGUAAGCCAUCUUGAGACCAUGCUAAGUAUGGUCUCUGCAGUCCACUGAAGGAUUCGAAACAAGAAGCAACCUGAUUAGUGUUGCCUUUGGAAGUAUCUCUAUCAACAUGGAAACUCUUGGUCCAUCUAUAUAGGUUUGGGAGAGGGGGGCAUAUUGAAUUGGAAGGAAAUAUUUUUGGGUGAAAAUUAUUUAAUUCAGUCAAUAGCCAGGUCAGCUGAACUCAGUCUACCUCUUUCUUCCACCAUAAAGGCCAAGCAAGAGAUAAACUAUAUUGAUUUGAAACUUUUCCAGCCUGAACAUAAGGACCUGUGCUUAUUUAAGUGCUUGUAUUACUAUGUUCAAGCACAAAUAUAGAACAGUAGUGGCAAGAAUAGGCAAAAAGCAGUGUGGGGUUUACUUUGUUUCUUUAAAACUAUAUUGUAAAUCAGGCUUCUAGUUUGUAUUAACCAGUUACUGUGCAUUAGCUGAGAUGGUAAAAAACUCGUGAAUAUUCUUCUAUGAGACUGCUGAGAUUCUGCCAGAUUACUCUGAGAUGCCACAAAGAUGGAUGAAAGGAUGCCGAAAGACUGCUUGUCUAGAAACAAGAGAAUCUAUCAGAUAGAUCCUAGCACACUGCACAAGUUUUCUACUGAUUAGUUGUAUGGCCUACUUAGCCAUAAUCUUCACAUGCCAAUUUAGACGGAAUCUUUUGCUUUACUAUUUUCUUCUCUACAAAAUGUUUUAUCACUGGUUUUCUCUGAUUAGCAGGAUUCUCUAACUGAAUUUAAAAUUUUGUUUUAAUGUUGAUUUAUUUAUUUUGAGGGGGUGGGGAGGAGCUGUGGGAAAGGGAGAAAGAGAAUCCCAAGCAGGAACCGUGCUGAGCACAGAGCCGGACUCGGGGCUCAAUCUCAUGAAACGUGAGAUCAUGGACUGAGCCGAAAUCAUCAGACACCUAACCACCUGAGCCACCCAGGCGCCCCACUAACUGAAUUUUGAUUUAAUGCAGCAAACAUUGAGAAUGCGAUUCAAUUUAUAAAAGUUCAAAUCGUGUGGUGACUCAGUAGAAAGAAUCGGGGCUUUGGGGUAAGACAGGUUUGCCAAUUUUCUUAGGGUACUAGUCUCCCUUUUCUCAUUCAAAAUUGGGAAGAUAAUAUUUACCCCCACUGGGUAGUUGUAAGGCUGAAUUAACUAUAAUAAUGCCUUAUUAAUUAUAAUAAUCAUAAUAAGUAUUAAUAAUAUUACUAAUGUUAGUUAAUAUUGUUCUCAUAAUAUUGCCUUCUCACAAAAGUAAGUGUUUCAAAUCUCUCAGAUGUCUUCCCUUUUCUGAAGCCAUCCACUGUGGGAGGUACAGAAGAACUACAUUGUGCAAGUUGGAAGGAGUCUUACCUUGCAUGUAAAGACCACUUUACAAUUUUUCAAAAACACUUUUACAUUCACAAUCUCCUUUGACAGACAAGAUCAUACAAACUCAUUGUACCUAGGUGGUAGAUACAAUUAUACACCAGCUUCUUCAACAGAUGUAAAAAAGUAAUGUUUUCUUUCACUCAAAAUUACACAUAUAGAGCCAGAGAACAUCAGUAGCUCUUAAAAAUUGAAAUCCUGUCUUACAAUGUAGCAGAAUCUUUACUUUCCUUUGAAACAUAGACUUGUUAUAUUAGACUCUUUUUUUUUAAUUCUUAAAAGAUUUUGAAUUUAAAUUUGAACAAUUUGUAGGUUUACCACCACUAAGCCUAGACUGAUUUUCCGAUAAUUAUUUUAAUAAUAAGAAAUUAAGUCAUUACUUAAUUUGGGUUAUAAAUUAAGGGUAUGGAUUUGUAAGCAUUCUCUUUAUUGGUUUGAACUAGUUGUAACUUAUUCAAAACGGAUUAUUUCCUUUUGGGCUUAACACGGAACUCUGGAAGACUGUUGCCAAUAUAUUUAAACAGUGACACCUACUGGUUACUUUGAGGCACAUUUAUGUGUUAAAUUCUGUCUGCCUUCUAGGGACUAUAAAAUCCUGAUAAAUUGUUGUUCAUAGUCACUGUGUUUAGGAGCACAUUAAGGCUAUGUCUAAUCCAGCCAGUAUUCUGACUUUCUUUUUUCUCUUUCAAUCAUUGAUAAUAAAUCUUCCACUGAAAAGAUUCGCGAAUCACUGACACAAUUUGCGUGAGCCGUUCAUUGUUUUGAUUGUGUGAAUAUGGCCUUUAUCUCAUCAUAUCCAUCAUAUUUAGUUCAAUAUAAUAUUUAUUUUCAAACUCAGAAACUAUGAAGUUGAAGAGGAAUAAAGAUUUGGGUUAGCCACUAACUUUAAAACACAGAGGUCAUACCCAAUUUGAGAAAUCCUGAACAAGAAGCUUUCUUUGUCCUUAGUACCAAGUUUGAAUUUGGAUAUCUUGAUUAUUCCUUUUGUGUCACAUUUUGCUUUUAGAUACAAUUGCAGCUAAUUAAUGAACAAGUUGAAUGCACAUUUGCUAAUUGUUCGGGUGAGAUAAAUGACAACGCCUUGAAUUUUCAUGAGUCUGUUCUGUUACAAAGAUGCCAUGUAAGAGUCAGAGAACAUAAUUCCAGGUUCUCUGUAUCUUCGCUACUGCUGGAUAGAAGGCCAUUAUGACCCACUUGGUCCAUUUGUGAACUACCUGGUUUCAUUUUCAUCUAAAUAGAUUUUGAUGUCUCUGAACCACUUAUCGGAAUGCUGAGCAGAGAGGCAGUGAUUGUACCGGAUCGUUACUGAAGCACAAACUGUGCCUAACAGUGUAGCUCUAGCACAUUGGAUGCACUAUAUAAAUGCCCAUGGAAGAAACAACCAACCUUGAAACCCGCAGGAGUAUAUUUCACUGUUCAUCUAUUAAUUGUACACAUGUUAACUCUCAGGAUAUGUGUUUUAUUUUUUUAAACUAAUUAAUUAAUUAAUUAAUUAAUUUUUUAAUUUGCAUCCAAGUUAGUUAGCAUACCAUACAACAAUGAUUUCAGGAGUAGAUUCCUUCAUGCCCCUUGCCCAUUUAGCCCAUCUUCCCUCCCACAACCCCCCCCCCCACCCAAGCAACCCUUUGUUUGUUCUCUGUAUUUAAGAGUCUUUUAUGUUUGUUCCCCUCCCUGUUUUUAUAUUAUUUUUGCUUCCCUUCCCUUAUGUUCAUCUGUUUUGUAUCUUAAAUUCCUCACGAGUGAAGUCAUAUAUUUGUCUUUCUCUGACUAAUUUCACUUAGCAUAAUACCCUCUAGUUCCAUCCAUGUAGUUGCAAAUGGCAAGAUUUCAUUCUUUUGAUGUGUGUAUAUAUAUAUACGUAUAUAUAUACGUAUAUAUAUAUACACACAUACAUACAUGACUGUAUAUAUAUAUAUAUACAUACAUACACACACACACACACACACACACACACACACACACGACAGCUUCUUUAUCCAUUCAUCAGUCAAUGAACAUUUGGGCUCUUUUCAUACUUUAACUAUUGUUGAUAGUGCUGCUAUAAACAUGGGGGGUGCAUGUGCCCCUUUGAAACAGCACACCUGUAUAGGAUAUGUGUUUUAAAAUGUACCCAGAAUUUGUUUUAAUCAAGUAUGGUUAGACACACAGGAAUGACUGACAUAAAGGAAUGGCUGACAUAAAGGAAUAAUUUUUGAUGCUCACAAAUUCCUAGAAACAAGAGUCACGGCCUGCCGUAUAGGUAGGUCAAGAAGCAGAAGAAACAAGGGAAAGCAUGGGCAAAAACCUUUAUUGUGGUUUUCACAGGAAGGCAUUCAUGAGGCAGGGUAAGCAGGCUUAGGAUUGGCUAGUUUGAAUAAUUUGAGCAGGCUCUGAAGUUGUAGGAGCUAUUUGAGUUAUACAAGGUCUCUAGGAAUUAGCUAACCCUGGGAGAGGCAGUUCCUCCAUGAUCAGCAAGGUCCCAGGUGCCAAAAUGUCGGAAAUAACAGAAAAUAGGAAAAUACAGUUAAUUUAGUAUGGGUUCGGGCAUUCUCACAUCUCCUUUCUUCUCGUUCUCCUUCUUUUGCAGCUGGGGUCAAUCUUAUCUGAUUAGAAGAAUCAGGAUCCAGAAGCCCAAAGAGGCAAACAUGUAAGUAGUUUUUGAGUCAUUUCCAUCUGAGUGUGGCUAUACAACAUACUUGUGCAAAUCAUAUCUCAAAUUUAUCUUUGGGUUUAUGUUGUCUUUUCAGCCAUCUUAUUCAUGGCUCUGGUAUAGUAAGACUCAUAGUUACUGAAAAAGGUAGCUUUUUAAAUUGCAUUGAAAAGAGGAAUCAUUAAGUUGAAUAUCUGUCUCAGUUCUACAAUCUACUUUGUACAUACACACAGAAGUAUGUGUAUUUGUGAAAUACACAGCACAGGUCUAAGAGGCAACACAGAGGCAACUCAGAACUGUGAAUAGAAGUCAGCCAGUCCAAAUUUCAAUCCCAGCUCCAACCCUGAUUAGCAAUGUGACUUUGGAGUGGUUAUUUAGCUUCUCCAAGUCUUUUGUUUUCUCAUCUAUAAAAUGGGGGUGAUAAUAGAAAUACCUAUCAAAUGAUGUCCUGUGAGAGUUAUAUGUACCGUUGACAAAGUGCUUAGAAAUUGCCUGGCAUUUGGAUGAUUGAUAGAUUAAACUAUUGCUAUACUUCAGUGAUUCUUGCAAAGUGUGCUUAUGGAUUGACUACAAGACCAGUUUUGCUACAACGGUAAAAGUUGUUCAUGGAAUUGAUUCUGUUAGAUAUACAUUGUAUUUGCCAUAGCAAUUGUAGCCAAGGAAGAUCAUUAGCAAAUGAUACAAUUUUUAAAAGACAUGAAAUUUGGGAGAGGGGCAUAGAGGCAUAGAUUGCAUUUUUCAGAUUUGUUCAUUAAACUUUUUUUCCUUUUAAAAGUCUUUAAAUGCCUAGCUUUCCACCAUCAGUAAUCUUUUCUUAAACAAAACGAGUAGAUCCUUGAAUAAUUUUU
rnacentral:tRNA from 1 species